UCUUGUCACAACCCGAAUAGGCAUGUGGAAAGAUGCAAUACAAAAAAAACUUAUAAUAGUUGCAACUGCACUGCACGUAGAUUUUCGUAAAGGGGUUUGUUUGUCAACAAGUUUCGCAACGAAGAUACUUAUCAAUCCACAAAUUGCUGAAGUUGAGGAGAUCAAAAGGAGCCUUCUUUAACAUCAAGAUACAUAAUGCAGCGAGAAUAUUGACAUCAAUUAUGCACAGAAGAUGGCUAUUGGAUCAAUGAUGCAGAGAAGAU